GGGAGCAAACAGGAUUAGAUACCCUGGUAGUCCACGCCGUAAACGAUGAUAACUAGCUGUCAGGGUUCUUAGAACUUUGGUGGCGCAGCUAACGCAUUAAGUUAUCCGCCUGGGGAGUACGGUCGCAAGAUUAAAACUCAAAGGAAUUGACGGGGGCCUGCACAAGCGGUGGAGCAUGUGGUNUAAUUCGAAGCAACGCGCAGAACCUUACCAGCGUUUGACAUGGCUAGUAUGUUUUCCAGAGAUGGAUUACUUCAGUUCGGCUGGCUAGCACACAGGUGCUGCAUGGCUGUCGUCAGCUCGUGUCGUGAGAUGUUGGGUUAAGUCCCGCAACGAGCGCAACCCUCGCCUUUAGUUACCAUCAUUUAGUUGGGUACUCUAAAGGAACCGCCGGUGAUAAGCCGGAGGAAGGUGGGGAUGACGUCAAGUCCUCAUGGCCCUUACGCGCUGGGCUACACACGUGCUACAAUGGCGACUACAGUGGGCAGCAAUCCCGCGAGGGUGAGCUAAUCUCCAAAAGUCGUCUCAGUUCGGAUUGCACUCUGCAACUCGAGUGCAUGAAG
rnacentral:rRNA from 1 species